rnacentral:rRNA from 1 species
CGAGAAGGUGUCUUCGGACACUGGACAGUGGCGCACGGGUGAGUAACGCGUGGGAACCUGCCCCGAGGUACGGAACAACGGCUGGAAACGGCCGCUAAUGCCGUAUGUGUCCUGAGGGAGAAAGAUUUAUCGCCUUGGGAGGGGCCCGCGUCCGAUUAGCUAGUUGGUGAGGUAAUGGCUCACCAAGGCGACGAUCGGUAGCUGGUCUGAGAGGAUGAUCAGCCACACUGGGACUGAGACACGGCCCAGACUCCUACGGGAGGCAGCAGUGGGGAAUAUUGGACAAUGGGGGCAACCCUGAUCCAGCAAUGCCGCGUGUGUGAUGAAGGCCUUAGGGUUGUAAAGCACUUUCACUGGUGAAGAUGAUGACGGUAGCCAGAGAAGAAGCCCCGGCUAACUCCGUGCCAGCAGCCGCGGUAAUACGGAGGGGGCAAGCGUUGUUCGGAAUUACUGGGCGUAAAGGGCGUGUAGGCGGCGGUCUUAGUCAGGCGUGAAAGCCCGGGGCUCAACCUCGGAAUAGCGCUUGAUACUGGAUUGCUUGAGACCGGAAGAGGGUAGUGGAAUUCCCAGUGUAGAGGUGAAAUUCGUAGAUAUUGGGAAGA